AGAAGUGACGGAGAUCGGGCUCCAUCAUUUGUCACCCCACUGUCAGGGUUUAUUCACAUGAUCAAGCUGGCUAGUUUGUUUGUUUGUUUGUUUUUCCCUUCCUCACUUACAGCUCCUUGUGUGUUCUUCCUGGAGCUGCACACUCAAAGUGUUCAGGUGCAGCUCUGACCUGUCUUCACUCAAGCAUACAUCCCUAGGUGCGCUCUCCAGGUAGAUCCCCUCAAACAGGCUCUCAAGGUCCAAACGAGUACAAGUAUCAGUAUGCCUAUAGUUACUGAAGGUAGAACUCUUGGGAGUGUAAAUCACUUGUUUUACAUUGUCCU
ensembl:misc_RNA 7SK 7SK RNA